ensembl:lncRNA
CUCCUAGGCAGCUACGGCUCUUCCUGUGGUCGGGGCCACGUGGGCAGGAUGGGGUUAAAAGCAGCCCCGCUCCCCACGGCGGCCCAUUGCUCCUCCGGACACCAGCACCCCAUAGAGCACCUGCGGCACCGGCACUGGCGUGGGCCACCUGCGCCCUGACUUGGUAACGUACAGAGGGACGUGGCCAGCGGUGGGUGCCCACGUGGAGCAGCGGGGGCCUGGAGGGUCCUGGCAGCCACAGUCCCACCCGAUGCCAGGGGGGCGGCGGGCACUAAAGACGUCCUGUGGGUAAGGGGUCCCCCCCCUCCCCCCCAGGGCGGAGUGGAGAGGAGGCACCACGGUGGCGGAUGGGAGGGAGGAGGUGGGAAGAGGCUGAAGCAGAAGUGCCGCUGAGGGGGAUUUCGGUGGCAGCAGGAUGGGAGGCGUUGGAUGCAGAGCUGUGUGGCAGGGAUGAGGUUGGAGCAGGGUGUGGGGCUCCGUGUGGCAGCGGGGGCCUCCUGGUGCCACCCAGCACGUGGCCUGAAGGACAAUGGGGACACUGAGGGGGUCACUGUGGGAGUGGAAGGGGAGAGGUGGAGGUUCAUGAGGAGCCACCGGCCCAUGGCACUCCUGUGGCCCUAAGGGGAGGGUGACCUUGAGGGGACAGAGUGUGGGAGCCCCACACGAUGGGACAAGGAAGUCCUCGGCGACAAGGGUGAGAGCAUGAAACAGGGACCCCACAGGGACUUUGGUAGGGCAGUCCCUGUAAUGGGGACAGGGUUUGCCAUGAGGUCCCCACUAUGAGGACAAGGCAAAGGAGCCUUCUGCGACCACAGUGGCGUUUAGACAGGGUCUUCACCACAGGGACAAGGCAAGGCAAAGGGUGCCUGGCCAUGGAGGUGGAAUUUUCCAUAGGCUCCUCACCACGGGUACAGUGCAAAAUGUCCCCUGUGACCAGAGGACACUGAGGUGGCAUCUCUGCAUGUGGAUGAGGCUAGGGGGUCGUAUGUGACUUUGAUGAGCUUUGAGGGACAAUGAGGGAAUUAAGGUGGGAUCUCACCCUUGGGAUCAAGAUUAAGUGGUCCUCUGUGGCUAAAAGGGGGCUUGAAGGCCAACAAUGAAGUUUGAGGUGAAAUGUACACCAACAAGGGGUUAAUUGGGGGGGGGGGGAGGGGCUCCUGGUCUUCCAUAUGGGGGUAAGGCAAAGAAGACCAGGGUGGGGGUCUGAGAGAGCAUAAUGAGAUUUGAGGGGGUUCUCUCCAGCAGAAAGAAGACAAGAAGGUUCUCUGUGACUGGGAUGGGGUCCGAGGUGGGGUCUGUCCUUUGGGGACAAGGUGACAAUAUCCCCUGUGCUCAGCAAAGAGCUUGAGAGGGAAUGAUGGCUUGCAAAGUAGGGUGUCCCCCAUAGGGACAAGCAAGGCCAGGCUGCCCCUUGUGCCCAGAAUGGGGUCUUAGAGUUACAAGGCAAGAUCUCCCCACUGGGGGUGAGGCGGGGAUGUCCCCUGUGCCCCACUCGGCUCCUCAGGGUGGGAGGUGACGCCGGCAGGGGCUGUCCAUCCCUUCGUGCCCCCGGCUACGCCGCCCACAAAGACGUCCCACGGCCGGGCGCGGGUAGAGGAAAAUGCAUCGCCAGAGGAGAGCAACCGCCGACACCGACUGAGAGACAGUGCAGUCACCCAUAAAGUAGAAAGCACUACUAAACAGCACUGCAGGGUGUAGUGUUUCCUACUUUAUGGAUGAGUGUACUGUGGGCUACGGAGAAGAGAACGCCGACAGCAACCUCUGUGCCAGCCACCGUCAUGGAGCUGAGGAUGGGAUGGCACCAUCCCCGCUGCACAGCGGGGAGCAGGGGACCGCCUGGCACUGUCCCCAUCGUCUGCUCCGGGGGGUAGGAGUUCUGUGCUGGCCACUGUGGGAGGGCAGGUAGGUAGCAUGGCCUUUGAUUUGCACUUUUUUCACCCCAUCUUCGUGGCAGAGUCCUGCACAAAGCUGGGGGGGGGGGGUGGCCACGUGUGGACGGGGUAGGAGGGGGCUGCUGAGUGGCUUUGCACGGCCGCACGAUGACACAGGGGCUGCUAAAUAAAACUCUUUCAGCAUUCGCUUGUGGAAUUUGUCUUUUUGAUUCUUUUCCUGAGAAACACAACAACUGGAAAAAGACACAUGGGGCGCCCCAGGGCCACGGGUGGCAGUGGGGGUUACUGCGGGGGGACGGAGCCCGGGGGACGUGGGGUGCUAGAAAUGGGCACCACAAAUCUCAGCACCCCGUGGCUGCUCGUGCCCCGCACCCAUCCGGGCUCACAGCAGAGCGGCCACGUCCCAGCACAGCCCCACCACCUCCAUGAGGCCACGUGGAACGGGAAUGGGACGCUCCUAUGGCCACUGUCCCCACCCCAGCCCGCCCACACAGUGUGCCCGACGUCCCGGCUUCCCACAUCCCCAUUGCCCAAAUGUUGGUUCCCAAACACCCCAGCGCAUCACCACGCUCAACUUUGAUUCCCUGUCUUCUGGUCUUUGGAUACGGCACCUAAAAAUAGUAGAAAAAUGCAAUAAAAAUAGUUCCCCCCCCCCCCUCUUUGACUCCAAGUUAUAAUGGAAAGCUUCUGCUUCUUGUAAAAUUUCUCAUGCAGGUUUUGAGGGUGGUUUUAUGGAGUAUUUGUCUUUCCCUUUGACCACAUCAGGACUGGGAGCUUUGCCUUUUCUUCCCCAUCCCUGCUUCCCCCACUCCCUGACUUUGAGAAUGUUUGCAGGGAAUACGGAAGGAAAAAAAGGUCAGAACUCUCGUCAUGGUCACAAGGCGGCAGGUUUUUAAGCAAUAAAAAGAAGAAAGAGCUAAAAAAAAAAACCACCCAAGGAAGCAGCACAGCACGGCAAGGCCCAGCACAGCACAGCACAGCCCAACACAGCACAACACAGCACAGCCCAGCAUAACACAGAACAGCACAGCCCAGCAAAACACAACACAGCCCAGCCCAGCAUAACACAGCACAACACACAACACUGCACAGCACAGCACUGCACAGCACAGCACUGCACAACACAGCACAGCAC